GCGCACCCUUAUCCUUGUUUGCCAGCGAGUCAUGUCGGGAACUCCAGGGAGACUGCCGGUGAUAAACCGGAGGAAGGUGGGGACGACGUCAAGUCAUCAUGGCCCUUACGAGUAGGGCUACACACGUGCUACAAUGGCGCAUACGGAGGGCAGCAAGCUAGCGAUAGUGAGCGAAUCCCAAAAAGUGCGUCGUAGUCCGGAUUGGAGUCUGCAACUCGACUCCAUGAAGUCGGAAUCGCUAGUAAUCGUGAAUCAGAAUGUCACGGUGAAUACGUUCCCGGGCCUUGUACACACCGCCCGUCACACCAUGGGAGUGGGCUGCAAAAGAAGUGGGUAGUUUAACCUUUCGGGGAGGACGCUCACCAUUUUGUGGUUCAUGACUGGGGUGAAGUCGUAACAAGGUAGCCCUAAGGGAACCUGGGGCUGGAUCA
rnacentral:rRNA from 1 species